GAUGAAGAACGCAGCGAAAUGCGAUAAGUAAUGUGAAUUGCAGAAUUCAGUGAAUCAUCGAAUCUUUGAACGCACAUUGCGCCCCUUGGUAUUCCGAGGGGCAUGCCUGUUCGAGCGUCAUUUUCACCAUCAAGCUCUGCUUGUGUUGGGGUCCUGCGGCUGCCCGCAGGCCCUGAAACCCAGUGGCGGGCUCGCUAGUCACACCGAGCGCAGUAGCACAUCUCGCUCAGGGCGUGCGGCGGGUUCUUGCCGUAAAACAACCCCCCCUUUUCACCAAGGUUGACCUCGGAUCAGGUAGGAAUACCCGCUGAACUUAAGCAUAUCAAUAAGCGGAGGA
rnacentral:misc_RNA from 1 species